GGGUGUGGAUUCUUCAACGUGAGGAGUUAGGCAUGGAGGAACUUAAGUAGAUGGAUUUUAGGUUGGUUUAGCCUUAUUCCAAAUAGGACUCAUGAAUCUUGAUCAAAUUUUAACUAAUUAUUGGAUCCAAAUCUAACUAAUUUAGAGAUUAGUUAUAACAAACUAAUUAAUUAGAUCUUAGUAUAAUUAUGAAACCAAUUAGACCCCAAUCCAAUUGAAAAUUAAUUAGAUUAAAAUCCCAUUGA
rnacentral:lncRNA from 1 species